UUGGUAUUCCCCCAUUGUAAGUCAAUUAAAGGAGUUAGGCUAGGUUGCUAAUGGUUUAAACACAUGAACGAGAAGGGAUUAACAUGGCGUCCAAACGUUCUUUACUUUUUUUUUCAACGUUAUGGAUAACAUUUUAUUUUCUAUGAACAAAGGCUCAGUUUACUUUAGAUGAAUGGACCAACGGGACUGCCAUGGGCAAGUCCCUUGACCGGUACCAGGAAUGGUGGAAGGACAAUCUGAAGGUCACUAAUACUCCACCUGAUGUGGUGUAAGUAGUCGAACCAGAUCAGAACGCCUUCGAAGAUCCCCUUCAGGCACAGACUGAGAAGGAUGUGGAGGUUUUUGACCAGGUGAGACUGAACAUGGACAGGGCGCAUGAGAAGGAGAGCCACCUGAGAAGAAUCAAGGGGACCAAGUGUUUCAACAUCAGGGUGAAUGACAUGGAAGAAGGAUGAAAGGAAGGCGAAACCCAGGAAAGCUUGCUGCUCUUGUAACCGAUGUGAAAUGGCUAGCUAGUUAGCGGUGGUGCACGCUAAUAGCGUUUCAAUCGGUGACGUCACUCGCUCUGAGACCUUGAAGUAAUGGUUCCCCUUGCUCAGCAAGGGCCGUGGCUUUUGUGGAGCAAUGGGUAAUGAUGCUUCGUGGGUGUCAGUUGUCUAUGUGUGCAGAGGGUCCCUGGUUCGAGCCCGGGUAGGAGCAAGGGGACGGACCAAAGUUAAACUGUUACAUUGAUGCUGUUGACCCGGAUCACUGGUUGCUGAGCAAAAGGGGGGUGAGUGUAACCGAUGUGAAAUUGCUAGUUAGCAGUGGUGCGCGCUAAUAGCGUUUCAAUCGGUGACAUUGCUUGCUCUUGAGACCUUGAGGUAGUUGUUCCCCUUGGUUCGAGCCUAGGUAGGGGCGAGGAGAGGGACGGUUACACUCUUUUGCUCCUAGCUGGGGUCAACAUCCGUUAAAGUGAAAUAUAAAAAUCUCAGAUGAAAACUAUUUACAUUUGCAGCCUUGUGGUGGCUGAAUUACCAUGCUGUCAGCAGUACCAACACUGGCCCAGGGUUUCUCCAAAUAGUCAAUCUCAAGGCUAACCACUGGGUCACAUUAAGUAACCGCCACUUCCAGGUUGGUACUGUUAAGGUGUAUGCCUCCAGUUGUCAUGACACCACCCUGGAGUUUCUCUCACAAUUCAUCUUUAUAUUUUCCAGGGACCAUCCUUUACCAGCCCCACUGACAUAAAAAAUUAGACAGGACCGAGGGGUUCUGGGGUCCUAACACCCAGAUAUGGAUCCACCUGAUGUCCUCCAUUACCAACCACCCUACAACUUUUCAUUACAUCCGCGAAUGUUAAUGUCAUGUUGUCAUUAUCUGCUAAGAAAGAGCAAGAACACUAUCAUACUGGGUACAUAAUGUGAGCUGCACAGAUUAGCUAAAAACAUUAUCACUGCAAACACAGGAGCAAUUCCUGGACUUUGCAGUUUCCCUCUUCGAUUCCACUGCCUGUUGAAAAACAAGUGACAGGCAGAACCUCCCAUCCACACAAUACCCACCUCCUCGCUAUUCCACACACCAGAAUUCUUUAUUUUAGUCUAUGAAUGCCAUGUGAGUGUACUAAAAAUCUGAAAGUAAAUUGACCAAAAUUGUACCAAAAAUAUAUAAAUGGUUAUGUAUUUAAGUCUAAAAUAUUUCUAGAUUGGUUUUCACAGCUGUUUCAUAAGGUGUUCGUUAUUGUAAAUUCUAACGUAUCCCUUGAUGGUAUUUGUAUCAUAAGACAUACAAUAGAUAUAUACUCAACCACAAGGGUGUACUAAUGAGCUAUAAUGUUUUUUAAAUCAUACAUUUUUUUUCAACUUUAUUUAACUAGGUAGGCUAGUUGAGAACAGGUUCUCAUUUACAACUGCGACCUGGCCAAGAUAAAGCAAAAGGUCUGCUCCUCUCCUUGUUCGUUCCGCGAUCGACGUCACCGGCUUUCUAGCCAUCGCCGCUCCAUUUUUCAUAUAUCCAUUUGUCUUGUCUUGUUCCAUUGUAUUUAACCCUCUGUUUUCCAUCAUGUUUUGGUGUGUAAUUCUGUCAUCGGGUGUAUAGAGGCAAAGUCAUGUGCAGGAGAGUAGAGUGAUGUAAACAGGCUCACUUUUAUUUUAGUUCCAAAAAUGAGAGCACUACAUAAAUCAAACGCGCUCAAAACACGGAACAUAACAAAAGUAAAGCGCGUAAAAAAAACACCACAAUAACAUGAAACAAUUACACACAAAACAUGAUGGGAAACAGAAGGUUAAAUACAAGUAGAUUGGAGAAAUGAAAACUAGUUGUGUAUGGAAACAAUACAAGACAAAUGGAUAUAUGAAUAAUGGAGCGGCGAUGGCUAGAAAGCCGGUGAUGCCGAACGCCGCCCGAACAAGGAGAGGAGCCGACUUCGGCGGAAGUCGUGACAAGCAGUGUGACUCAGACAACAACACAGAGUUACACAUGGAAUAAACAAGUCAAUGACACAGUAGGGGGAAAAAGUCUAUAUACAGUGUGUGCAAAAGGCAUGAGGAGGUAGGCAAUAAAUAGGCCAUAGGAGUGAAUAAUUACAAUUUAGCAGAUGGACACUGGAGUGAUAAAUGAGCAGAUGAUGAUGUGCAAGUAGAGAUACUGGUGUGCAAAAGAGCAGAAAAGUACAUUAAAAAACGUAUGGGGAUGAGGUAGGUAGAUUGGGUGGGCUAUUUACAGAUGGAUUAUGCACAGCUGCUCAGACAGCAGAUGUUUAAAGUUGGUGAGGGAAAUAAAAGUCUCCAACUUCAGCAAUUUUUGCAAUUCGUUCCAGUCACUGGCAGCAGAGAGCUGGAAGGAAAGGCUGCCAAAUGAGGUGCUGGCUUUGGGGAUGACCAGUAUUUGAUACACUGCCGAUUUUGCAGGUUUUCCUACUUACAAAGCAUGUAGAGGUCUGUAAUUUGUAUCAUAGGUACACUUCAACUGUGAGAGACGAAAUCUAAAAUGAAAAUCACAUUGUAUGAUUUUUAAGUAAUUCAUUUGCAUUUUAUUGCAUGACAAAAGUAUUUGAUACAUCAGAAAGCAGAACUUAAUAUUUGGUACAGAAACCUUUGUUUGCAAUUACAGAGAUCAUACGUUUCCUGUAGUUCUUGACCAGGUUUGCACACACUGCAGCAGGGAUUUUGGCCCACUCCUCCAUACAGACCUUCUCUAGAUCCUUCAGGUUUCGAGGCUGUCGCUGGGCAAUACGUACUUUCAGCUCCCUACAAAGAUUUUCUAUUGGGUUCAGGUCUGGAGACUGGCUAGGCCACUCCAGGACCUUGAGAUGCUUCUUACGGAGCCACUCCUUAGUUGCCCUGUCUGUGUGUUUUGGGUCGUUGUCAUGCUGGAAGACCCAGCCACGACCCAUCUUCAAUGCUCUUACCGAGGGAAGGAGGUUGUUGGCCAAGAUCUUGCGAUACAUGGCCCCAUCCAUCCUCCCCUCAAUAUGGUGCAGUCGUCCUGUCCCCUUUGCAGAAAAGCAUCCCCAAAGAAUGAUGUUUCCACCUCCAUGCUUCACGGUUGGGAUGGUGUUCUUGGGGUUGUACUCAUCCUUCUUCCUCCAAACACAGCGAGUGGAGUUUAGACCAAAAAGCUCUAUUUUUGUCUCAUCAGACCACAUGACCUUCUCCCAUUCCUCUGGAUCAUCCAGAUGGUCAUUGACAAACUUCAGACAGGCCUGGACAUGCGCUGGCUUAAGCAGGGGGACCUUGCGUGCGCUGCAGGAUUUUAAUCCAUGACGGCGUAGUGUGUUACUAAUGGUUUUCCUUGAGACUGUGGUCCCAGCUCUCUUCAGGUCAUUGACCAGGUCUUGUCGUGUAGUUCUGGGCUGAUCCCUCACCUUCCUCAUGAUCAUUGAUGCCCCACAAGGUGAGAUCUUGCAUGGAGCCCCAAACUGAGGGCUUCUUAAUGAAAAACUAACAGGUCUGUGAGAGACGGAAUUCUUACUGGUUGGUAGGUGAUCAAAUACUUAUGUUAUGCAAUAAAAUACAAAUUAAUUACUUAAAAAUCAUACAAUGUGAUUUUCUGGAUUUUUGUUUUAGAUUCCGUCUCUCACAGUUGAAGUGUACCUAUGUUACAGACCUCUACAUGCUUUGUAAGUAGGGAAAACCUGCAAAAUCUGCAGUGUAUCAAAUACUUGUUCUCCCCACUGUACCUGCUGGAACAUGUGCUACGGGUGGGUGUUGUUAUCGUGACCAGUGAGCUGAGAUAAGGUGGAGCAUUACCUAGCAUAGACUUAUAGAUGAUCUGGAGCCAGUGGGUCUGGCGACGAAUAUGUAGCGAGGGCCAGUCGACGAGAGCAUACAGGUUGCAGUGGUGGGUGGAAUAAGGUGAUUUGGUAUGGCACUGUGAUAGACUGCAUCCAGUUUGCUGAGUAGAGUAUUGGAGGCUAUUUAGUAGAUGACAUAGCCGAAGUCGAGGAUCGGUAGGAUAGUCAGUUUUACUAGGGUAAGUUUGGCGGCGUGAGUGAAGGAGGCUUUGGUGUAAAAUAGAAAGUUGAUUCUAGAUUUGAUUUUGGAUUGGAGAUGUUUAAUAUGAGUCUGGAAGGAGAGUUUACAGUCUAGCCAGACACCUAGGUAUUUGUAGUUGUCCACAAAUUAUAGGUCAGAACCGUCCAGGUUGGUGAUGCUAGUCGGGCGGGCAGGUGCGGGCAGCGAACGGUUGAAAAGCAUGCAUUUGGUAGUGUUUAAGAUCAGUUGGAGCCAACGGAAAGAGUGUUGUAUGGCAUUGAAGCUCGUUUGGAGAUUAGUUAGCACAGUGUCCAAGGAAGGGCCAGAAGUAUACAGAAUGGUGUCGUCUGCAUACCCCCAUAGAGACUGCCAGAGGUCCGGACAACAUGCCCUCCGAUUUGACACACUGAACUCUGUCUGCAAAGUCGUUGGUGAACCAGGCGAGGCAGUCAAAUUGAGGACUAAAAUUAUUUCAGUGUAGAUAAGGGAAUGCCUGUUUAAAAUGAAAACAUGACAGCCAGACAAGCCAGUGUAUGAAUCAAAUGUAUUUCCAUAUGAAUGGAGUGGAAAUUAGCUCACUUUGUGAUCUGUAAGGUAAGUAACAUUAAUGUGUGUGUGGGUCAUGGAAAUGAUAUGUUUACACUGAUGCCUGUUUAUUCAUAAAAAGCAGAAGAUGGUAAAUAACAUUAAUCGCAAUGGUUAGCCUAUGCAAAUUAUUAGGAAUACAUUUAGCCUAAUUGGUAAUAAAUAUUAUGUGGGGGAAAAUCGGGAUCCUAUUCAGGCUUUUGUUUGUCAAUUCCAUAUUAAAUAUAAGUCUUCACGUGUAUCAAAUCUAUAGGCAAUUGUGGGCUAAAUCAAUGACAGACAGCUUAAAUGUUCAGGCUUCAUCAUGAUCUGUGAUCAAAACAGGCUGGGGUGUUUUCGGUUCUGUUUAGUCUAAGAAUAUGAGUAAGAACGCAAUUGCACUGAAAUGAAUAGCCUGAUUCAAUGGGAUUCUCCUGAAUAAUAUAUGUAAUUAUUUGUUAAACUGUUUGGUCGAUGCAUAGGCCCACACCGAUUCUAACUUUUUGGGAUUUUGCGUUAGGCAUAGCUCUAAAUUGCAAAGCAUUUAAUAAACCAACCACAUUUUCCUGUGAUGUUUAGGCUGCGCAAGACCUUCGAUAAGCUAGUAGUCUAUGGUGAAAUAAUUGUGGAGUUAAUCAUUGUUAUAGCCUAGUUCGCUUUAUAUAAUAUGGACCGUUGUUUUUCCUAAACCUAAGCAAACAAAUGGUAGCAUUUGCUUUUUGCACGUCUCUAUAACAAGGCCUAUAUCCUCACAUACCCCCAGUCAUGACGUUGCCCUUCUUGGGUACAGCAAGCCCCAUCCCCCUCUCCCUGUCUCCUUCAAGUAGGCUGCUGUGGUCAGAGAGGUCGUAAAUUCCCAAGGAAGACCCUGCCUCAUGGCCACAGUAUAGAGACAGAGUGAAGUGUCAUAGAGAACAAAGGAAUUUCUUCCACCUCACAGAACUUGAGGUCCGAACAACAUUUAUGUUCUGGAGAAGGUAUAAAAGAUCAGUGAAGAAUCCAGCUACGAACUGGUCCGUUUGUUACAACUUGGUAAAACUGAUGGGAUACGGUGCGGCCACAUUACCAUAACGCUGUUUAUAUAAUAGCCUCAGAUAUGAGGUUUACAUCUAAUUGUUGUAUAAGAUGAAUGAGUGAGGAUGAUACUGUUUGUACAAUUGUGCAAUGUGAUUUUGGACUGUUUAAUGAAGGAAACUCCAAUUCCCUUUUGAGUUUAACUAAAUCAGAGGACCGCCCAUGAGCCCAGUUAGGGUCAGGCAUCCUGGGACAGGCCCUUUUCUGCAACUCCUGAAUAAAACCCCAACUUUGAGAAAUUCUCAACAGACCAUGUUUUUCUCCAUUACGAGAGGACAAAGGUUGCAGACCAUUUCUGAAUCUUUUAACCAUACCACGUAGUUAAACUCUUCGACUAUCGAUACUGACAGAAUAAGAACAAGUCUUUGAUAUUAAUUACUAGUCUGCAGCAAGGAAUUCGGUAUCAUUGAACGCGAAGAAUGACAACCGCCGAAACAUCCAUUCUAUAACGAAAUUAAUGAAUGUCACUCUGAACAAUCUAUCCUAACCACGGCAGAGAGAGAGAGAGAGAGGGCGGAAACUCUCCAACAGAAACUAACUUUUCAGCAGCGAUCAAGACGACACACUGAGCGUAAAUAUAUACACUACUCAAAAAAAUAAAGGGAACACUUAAACAACACAAUGUAACUCCAAGUUAAUCACACUUCUGUGAAAUUAAACUGUCCACUUAGGAAGCAACACUGAUUGACAAUAAAUUUCACAUGCUGUUGUGCAAAUGGAAUAGACAACAGGUGGAAAUUAUAGGAAAUUAGCAAGACACCCCCAAUAAAGGAGUGGUUCUGCAGGUGGGGACCACAGACCACUUCUCAGUUCCUAUGCUUCCUGGAUGAUGUUUUGGUCACUUUUGAAUGCUGGCGGUGCUUUCACUCUAGUGGUAGCAUGAGACGGAGUCUACAACCCACACAUGUGGCUCAGGUAGUGCAGCUCAUCCAGGAUGGCACAUCAAUGCGAGCUGUGGCAAGAAGGUUUGCUGUGUCUGUCAGUGUAGUGUCCAGAGCAUGGAGGCGCUACCAGGAGACAGGCCAGUACAUCAAGAGACGUGGAGGAGGCCGUAGGAGGGCAACAACCCAGCAGCAGGACCGCGACAUCCGCCUCUGUGCAAGGAGGAGCACUGCCAGAGCCCUGCAAAAUGACCUCCAGCAAGCCACAAAUGUGCAUGUGUCUGCUCAAACGGUCAGAAACAGACUCCAUGAGGGCCCGACGUCCACAGGUGGGACCACCCACAAACACUUAGUUUGUAAAUAAAUGAUUUAAGACAAUUGAUGUAUGGAUGACUCAUAGUGAAGACUGGGUUCGUGCAGAUAACCAACAAUUUACGAAGUUUGGAAUGAGACUAACAUGAGGUCAAAUAAAUAAUUCAUUAAUUCGAAGACCAAGUGAUCAGAUAUAAAAUAUCUGAAAAGUUAUAUUGGGAAAUUAUAACGUUGUAAUCUGAAUAUUUUCCUUGGUGCCCCGACUUCCUAGUUAAUUACAGUUACAUGAUUAAUCAGUUUAAUCGCGUAAUACUAAUUACAGAGAAUCUUUGAUAAAAACUAAGUCUUCAAUUUAAUGAUAGUACAGACAGGACACGCCUCAAUUCGAACCCUGCUUUUAACCAUAAAACAUCUCCACAUAAAUGUAUAGAUGAAGGUUGCAUGGUUGUGUCUGUGUCUGUUAAUCCGGUAAACUGGGAAGUGGGGGGGAAACGAGGUCAAAUGACAUCAAUGAUUUUCAGGUCAAAACAAAAUCAAAAUCCCAGUCUGACCUCGUUUUUUUUCAGAGUUCCAGGUUGUCUUGAACGCGCUGAAGUCAGAAGUAAGAGAUUGCUGACUUCUGAGUUGUUUUGAAUUCGCCCCUAGAGACCUAGACUCUCUCCACAAUUGAAAUGUGCAUUUAACCCAACCCCUCUGAAUCAGAGCAUUGCGGGAGGCUGCCUUAAUCGAAAUACAAGUAUUCAGUCGCCCAGAGAACCAGCUUUGGGAUUUGAUUUAUCAAUCUUUCAGCUACUGGUCCAAUGCUCUAACCACUAGGCGACCAAGAAGCCCUUGAUUUUCUGUUGAUGCAAGAAAUAGGCAUAUCUACACAGUAAUGGUGGCUGCGAUAUCAACUAGCCUAAUAAUUUUUGUAUUGAGGUAAUAGGCCUAUUUUAGCUAAAUCGACAAAUGAAUUUGAUGAACUACACAGACACUUAAACUAACACGUAACAAUGUAACACAUGUAGGCGUUUUUAAGACUUUCAUGGUACUUAAACACAAACUGACAUGUGGCGUGUCAGUGACAUGUUACGCGAUGUGAACAUCACGUGAACACUACGUCUACAUGAUGUGUAUGUGUCACAUGACGUGAACGCGUCGGCAGUUUGAUGCCUUAGAAACAAACUUGUCUCCAUUGACAGUCCAUGUUAAUUCAUGCCAUUAAUUUAUGACACUAGGAAGACGUUAGGUGACUUGGUGAGAGGUAUCAGUAGCUUCACAAAGCUUAAUUCUGGCAUGAAUCACCCCCCAUAAGGAACCACUGUGGUCUGGGCCGGCAGCCUUGCAAGGGUUAACACGUUUAAGUGUCUUAUUCACAUUAGCCACAAUGAAGGAGGGGGGGGGGGGCGCAGUCCUUGGUGGCAGGCCACGUCGGUGGCACUGUAUUAUCCUCAAAGCGGGCAAAGAACGUGUUUAUUUUGUCUGGAAGCAAGAUGUUGGUGUUCAUGACGUGGCUGGUUUUCUUUUUGUAGUCUGUGAUUUCCUGUAGUCCCUGCCACAUAGGUCUUGUGUCUGAGCCAUGGAAUUGCGACUCCACUUUGUCUUUAUACUGUUUAUACUGUUCAAUUGUUUGAUUGCCUUGCGGGGGGAAUAACAACACUGUUUGUAUUUGGCUAUAUUCCCAGUCAUCUUU